rnacentral:rRNA from 1 species
CCAAUAGCGUAUAUUAAAGUUGUUGCAGUUAAAAAGCUCGUAGUUGAAUUUCGGGAUUGGCGCAUCGGUCGUGCCUCACGGGGUAUGAACUGGUGCAGUCAAUUUCUCACCUUCUGGAGAACCGCGAUGUCCUUAAUUGGAUGCCGCGGGGAACCAGGACCUUUACUUUGAAAAAAUUAGAGUGUUUAAAGCAGGCAUUUUUGCUUGAAUACAUUAGCAUGGAAUAAUAAAAUAGGACGGCAUGGUUCUAUUUUGUUGGUUUCUAGGAUCACCGUAAUGAUUAAUAGGGAUAGUUGGGGGCAUUAGUAUUCAAUUGUCAGAGGUGAAAUUCUUGGAUUUAUUGAAGACUAACUACUGCGAAAGCAUUUGCCAAGGAUGUUUUCAUUAAUCAAGAACGAAAGUUAGGGGAUCGAAGACGAUCAGAUACCGUCGUAGUCUUAACCAUAAACUAUGCCGACUAGGAAUCAGACGAUGUUAAUUUUUUAAUGACUCGUUUGGCACCUUACG